GACGGAGGAUGCAAGUGUUAUCCGGAAUCACUGGGCGUAAAGCGUCUGUAGGUUGUUUAAAAAGUCUGCAGUUAAAGGUUGAAGCUUAACUUCAAAAAUGCCGUAGAAACUUUUAAACUAGAGGAUGGUAGGGGUAGAGGAAUUUCCAGUGGAGCGGUGAAAUGUGUAGAUAUUGGAAAGAACACCAACGGCGAAAGCACUCUGCUGGGCCGACACUGACACUGAGAGACGAAAGCUAGGGGAGCGAAUGGG
rnacentral:rRNA from 1 species